AGUGUGAGAGAAAGACAAGAAAUAAGGAAGACUUCAAGAUUUUUGGUCUGAGCCCUUUGAAGGAUGUAUUGCCAUUGACCAGGAUGGAGAAGGCUGUAGAUGGAAGUGGGUUUUGGAGUAGAAGAAACGGGGUUUUGCCAUGUUGCCUAUGCUGGUCUUGAACUCCUGGACUCAAGCAAUCUGUCCGAUUCAAAAUCCCAAAGUGCUGGGAUUACAGGUAUGAGCCACCACACCCUGUCAAAUCAGUGGUUGAUAAGUCAUUCAGUUUACCAGUUUCCAUUUAAACUUUUGUUGACAGCUCUUAGAGAACUUUGUAAUUGAAAAGACAGAAUUGUAGAACAGGGUCCCAGCAGACUCUUCAAAAGAAGUUUCCAAACCUCUCUGUGGUAUGAAGACAAACAUUAGACAAUCUAUGAUUUUCCAGCCUGCUUCUGUUCAGAUUUUGAAUAAAUGACCAAAUUGAGCUUUGUUUUUUAAUUAAUUGUUAUUUAAUUUAGCACAUCUUAAGAGAUGUACCUGAGAACUUUGUAUAAGACACGGGUGAA
rnacentral:lncRNA from 1 species